AUGGGUCGAGGCAAAAAGGAUCCCUGGGCGGCACGCGGAUCCGUCGAUCCGGCGGAGGAGGAGGCGGCAGCGGUGAUGGAGGUUGAAGAGGAGGAGGAAGUCAAGGGAGACGAAGAGGAGGAGUGGAAUCACGAGGAGGAUGAGGCGGAGGAGGAGGAAGAGGAGUGGGAACAGGAGGAGGAGGCUGAUGAGGCCUCGGCGGAGGAGCAGCCGGAGGACCAGCGGUCGCCGCCCAAGCUGGCGGAGGGAUACUACGAGAUCGAGACCAUCCGCCGCCGCCGCCGCCGCCAGAACCAGAUACAGUACCUCGUCAAAUGGCGUGGGUGGCCGGAGAGCGCCAACACAUGGGAGCCUGAAGAAAACCUCAAGGCCUGCUCUGAUUUUGUUGAAGCCUUUGAGAAGCGGCAGCAACCAAGGUCCUAUGGCAAGCGCAAGCGCAAGCGCAAGAUCUCCACUACUCCCGUGGUAAGUCCCAACCCUUCUUCUCAGGGUAGAAGGGGCCGCCCACGGCGUUCAGAUCCUCGGUCUCUGUCCCAACGUCCUGUCCCAGAGCGCAAGAUAUUGCCUCCCAGAGCAAGCAGCAGGAGAGGUACUGAUAACACCAACAGGAACUUGGUUGCGGGCUCUGAUGCAUCAGUGAACGUGGCUCCUCAGCAAAUGCUUGGACAAGGUGCUACACAGGAGGGCAGCUCAAAUGUGCUUUCGGUUGGCCUGCCGUCUGUUGUGGUUCAUCAACAGGAUGAGCAUCAGCCUGCGAGUGGUGUAUCAAAGGUUGAUAGUUCAGUACAGGGACCCCCACCUCAGGUUGGCCAGGUGACCGGUGCCAAGAAGCGCAAGCUUGGGUCUGUCAGGAGGUUCAAGCAGGAUGAGGCGCAGCAGGAGCAAGGGCAAGUUGUCAAUGGCACAAGUGAGAAGCCUGGCAAUGAGAAAACUGAUUCCGCACAAGGAGAAACGGGUGAUAGGACCAAGGGGGUGGACGGUGCUAACCGUUGCAUCACUAAGAUCAUCAAGCCAGUGCGGUAUCAUGCCACCAUGACAGAUGACGUGCAGCAGGUUUCCAUAACAUUCAGAGCACUCAGGUCUGAUGGGCAGGAGGUUCUUGUGGAUGACAAGGAAUUGAAGUCUACAAACCCGUUGGUGCUGAUAAACUACUACGAGCAGCACCUGCGUUACAGUCCCACCGCGUGA
rnacentral:rRNA from 1 species